AGCAACGCAUAAUCGAACGGACCCGAAAUUUUUAUGAAAUGCGGUUCAUACGGACUCGCGUCCGUCAACUGCCGUUCUCAUCGUUCUUGUACUUGCAGUCCUCUUUCUCAUCCCUUCGGCUCUCCUCUAUUCCCCUCACCGUCUCCACUACUCGACACGCACCACCAGGACGGCUCCUCCGGCGAGCGGCCAUCUCCAUCUCCUCCGCGUGCGCGGCCAGGAUGCCUCUUAUGUGUGUGCCAUGACGAGCCUCUUGCAGAUCCAGAUCCACACGGGCAUGUUGGUGGGGUGUGCUUGCCGCAGUGGAGGCUAGCUGCGUUGGGGGUGCAUCUCCGGUGAUGCUGACCUGCAAGGCUGCGCGGCUCGUCCAAGGUGGCGGCUGGCUAGGGUUUGGGCGUGCCCAUCUCUAGCCCCACGAUCUCAUUGGCAACCACGGACUUGCAUCGUCUUACGCAUCAGCAGGGACAACUACAGACAUAACUUCCAGGCCUGGAGAACAGAGCUGCAGCGAGAUUGGAAGUGUUUGAUUGGUUAACAAAAGCUUCUAGGUGGAUAUGCUGCAGCCUGCAGCUCUUUAGGUAUUUUUGAAGCAACCUCUUUUUUUAUCGCUCAAAGAAAAGCCCUUUUUAGAGGCCCGUAUACUGUGAAAAUAAAGUGCUCCACAAUCAGAUGCCAAUUUGAGCACUUCUAAGCUGAAGAAUGUAAUACCUAGGAGGUAUCACCUGCAGAUGUUGGAAACUCCAUGUGAUACAGUGAUAGCUGGUGGCAGUGACAAUGGACAAGGAGUGUUUGAUCAAACGGACAGAUCUGCUAUAUCUUGCUAAAGGCCAUGGUUUAUUUUUGAUCAAGUUUCAUAGAAGUUCUGAAAGAGCUGGAACACAGGCAUUUCAGUCCUGCUUCAGAGAUGAACAGAUUGCAAGACACAUCAUGCAUAUGUUUUGUUGUACAGUUGAGGAUAUGAUCAUGUGGAGCACGAAGGAUUAUUUGAGUGAAUGCAUUUCGGGAUAAAUUAGUCAUAUGUUCAAUUUCAGUUUUUUUUAUCCCUGUAUACUAUCAACAACCAUGUAAAGAGAAUCCUUGUAACUGAAAUUAUUUAUCUAAUAAGAUCAUUCUCAAUUUUUUUA